rnacentral:rRNA from 1 species
AUUGAACGCUGGCGGCAGGCCUAACACAUGCAAGUCGAGCGGAGCGGCGGACGGGUGAGUAAUGCCUAGGAAUCUGCCUGGUAGUGGGGGAUAACGUCCGGAAACGGGCGCUAAUACCGCAUACUAUCGGAGCGGCCUAGGUCGGAUUAGCUAGUUGGUGGGGUAAAGGCCUACCAAGGCGACGAUCCGUAACUGGUCUGAGAGGAUGAUCAGUCACACUGGAACUGAGACACGGUCCAGACUCCUACGGGAGGCAGCAGUGGGGAAUAUUGGACAAUGGGCGAAAGCCUGAUCCAGCCAUGCCGCGUGUGUGAAGAAGGUCUUCGGAUUGUAAAGCACUUUAAGUUGGGAGGCGUUACCAACAGAAUAAGCACCGGCUAACUUCGUGCCAGCAGCCGCGGUAAUUC